CCAGUCAUUAUUUUUAAAAUACUGCCACUUCCUGUCUUCUUUUAAAAUUCUGAUCAGAGGGAGAGAACUCAAGAUGGCGCUGUGAGAACAACCCAGGAUUGGAGCUCUCAUUGAAUCUGCAAAGAGGUGACACUAGAUGUGAGAUGGGGGUCUUGAAGACAAUACAUGGUUGAGUUUCAUCUUUUUAUUCAGCCUGCCACUUUUUAUCAUUCCAGGUAAUGAAACAGGCCUAUGGAAAUGUUAAAUUGAUUGUCCAACUCAGCCCUGUGCAGUAGAACUUUAUGCCAUUGUGGAGACGCCCUAUGUCUGAACUCUACAAUAUGGGAGCCAUGGAGUGCCUGAGUUCAGGAAGAGGCGAAAUGAAGCUGGUGUGGCUGAGGGAUACUUUUUAGAGCUUAUUUAAUAUAAUUAACUUUGAGAUAUACAUAUCAACAUGCAAUUUGUGGGGACAGUACUGGAUAGUGCAGAUCCAAGAAUAUAAAAAUGGAGACAAGGUAAAAUUUGUAUCCAGUGCUAUGGUUAAAUAUAGGACAUAAAUAUUCACUCAGUUCUGAGGCUGCUGUUGUCUGCUGUUUUUUGCCCACUCUGAAAUGUAAACACCAAGAGUAGAAGACCUUGUCAUAAUUGUGAUCAUCUUUGUAUACCAUGCUUGAAAAGUAUCCCUAAGACUGUAAGUUUAAAAAAAAAGAACCUGUUAUGUUUUAGCUGUUUUGUGUAAAAAUUUGAACUAACAAUUGUGCAAGAAGUAUGGCCAAAAGUUGUGCUCCACACUUUGGUCAGGAAAAAUUGCUGUAUACUUGGGUAACAGGUUCUCUGUCCUCAUGGUGCUUAGAACAUUAUUUUUCCAUCAGUAUAAUCUUUGGAGUUGUAUGCAACACAUUUAACAAAUAGGAAAUUGGAAGUACAGAGAUAAUGCAGGUAGCCUUAUUUUUGGUGGAAUGAAAUAAGGAGGACUCAAAGUAAAAGGCUGCCGAACAUCUGAGACCAUGUUCUUUUAAUUCAAUUAUUCUCAGAAAGGGGUAAUUCUGUGGUGAUAUCUCCCCAGGAUAUUUGACAAUAUUUGAAGAUUAUUUUGUUUGUCAACAUUUGGAAAUUAGGGUGCUAUAGAUGUCUGAUGUGUGGGUCCUAAUAAUUAUUAUAAAUGUCCAACCAUGAACAGAAAGUCUGCCAUCACACACAAGGAAUGAUUCAGCUCACAGUGUUAAAGUGACAAUGUUCAGAAGCCCUGUUUUGCUGUUGUUGUUGUUGUUGUUGUUGUUGUUUGAGGUGGAGUCUCAUUCUUGUUCCUCAGGCUGGAAUGCAGUGGAGUGAUCUCAGCAGCCUCUGCCUCCCAGAUUCAAGCAAUUCUCCUGCACCAGCCUCCUGAGUAACUGAGACUACAGGCACUUGCCAUCACACCAGGCUAACUUUUUGUAUUUUUUUUAGGAGAAAUGGGGUUUCACCAUGUUAAGAUGGUCUCAAUCUCCUGACCUCGUGAUGCACCUGCUUCGGCCUCCCAAAGUGCUGGAAUUACAGCUUGACACCAGAGAUGGAGAGGCCUUGUUGCCUGAACAGGAGCCAGAGAGUAAUCUGGAAUUGGUGAGGCCUUGAUAUUUCCAAGAAGCAGAAUGUUAGGAAAACAUUUGGUAAGAACUGGUCCCAGCACACGUCACAGGAUCCAAGAAUGUUGCAGUUCCUAGAGCAGGAGGUGGUGACCUCCUGCCAGAGGCCCUGACUCUGAGGAUGGCAGGGCCAACAAAGACUUUGCCCAGGACUCCGAAGUGAAGAGCAUAGAGUCACAGAGAUGGAGAGCUUCAGGGCCAGCCCACAACCUAGCUUGAAUACCUGAGGAGAUAGCAUUCCCUGUAUCUGUGGACCCUCCCUUAAAUGCAGACUUCAUAUAUCUGUGCACUGAGAGAGGAGAGAGAUUAGGCCAUACUGCAGAUGCCCCAGAGCUCUGCUUCCUGAGUCCAUCUUCUGAGACAGAGAUACCCACAUCUCUCUUAUCUUUUCCCUCUGAUGGAAGCAUGAUCCCUUCAUUCAAAUUAUUUUCUACCCCUCUGACUCCCCCACAACCCCUUGCUGAGCCAUGGAUCAGGACCCUCUGCUUUGGAGUUUCUUGGUGGAGGUCAUGAGUCUGGUGAACUUCUGAUGUGUGGUUCCCAGGCACAUGGAAGGGGAAAAAAACCCUGGGCCCAUGGAGUUCUGAGCAGAGGGUCCCACCUGAGGAGCCAGAUGUACCAUUCGCAGCUGUUUCCUUGUCAUUUAUCUCAGAGGAAGGGCCACAACAGCCCUCUGGUGGCCCUGUUACACUUUGCACCAUGUCCCAGAGGUAACAUCACCCUUCUGCCUGAGGGGGGCCCCUGCCCAUGGAGGGCAUGCCAGUCAGAAGAUUAUGAUGGACCACGCAUAGGAUUGGAUGAGCCUUUGAUAAUGGGCUGGAAAGAAGUGCCAGGCUGUAGUGUAGGGUCUGCAGUCACCUUUGCUUAUACCCACCCAGGAAUCUUCUCAAGAAAACACAUUUAAAUUCAACAUUUAAAUGUAAGCAGAACAUUUUUGCAACCACGUCUACUUAAUGCUAAAAUUAUUUUAGUGUCUCGCAUUUAAAAAAAACACAAUUGCCAUGGUUACUUAUAUUAAAAAGUGAGUUUUAAAGUGAUUUCCUUAGAUAUACUGCAUACUUUGUGAUGAACAUUUAAUUAUGAAGUUA